rnacentral:rRNA from 1 species
CCUACGGGGUGCAGCAGUGGGGAAUAUUGGACAAUGGGCGAAAGCCUGAUCCAGCCAUGUCGCGUGUGUGAAGAAGGCCUUCGGGUUGUAAAGCACUUUCAGUGGGGAAGAAAGCCUUGGGGCUAAUACCCUCGAGGAAGGACAUCACCCACAGAAGAAGCACCGGCUAACUCCGUGCCAGCAGCCGCGGUAAUACGGAGGGUGCGAGCGUUAAUCGGAAUUACUGGGCGUAAAGCGCGCGUAGGCGGUCUGAUAAGCCGGUUGUGAAAGCCCCGGGCUCAACCUGGGAACGGCAUCCGGAACUGUCAGGCUAGAGUGCAGGAGAGGAAGGUAGAAUUCCCGGUGUAGCGGUGAAAUGCGUAGAGAUCGGGAGGAAUACCAGUGGCGAAGGCGGCCUUCUGGACUGACACUGACGCUGAGGUGCGAAAGCGUGGGUAGCAAACAGGAUUAGAUACCCCAGUAGUC